UUCGAUGCAACGCGAGAAACCUUACCUGGUCUUGACAUCCCGGAGACCCUUAGGAAACUAGGGGUGCUCCAUCUGGAGAAUCUGGAGACAGGUGCUGCAUGGCUGUCGUCAGCUCGUGUCGUGAGAUGUUGGGUUAAGUCCCGCACGAGCGCAACCCUUGCCUUUAGUUGCCAGCAGUUCGGCUGGGCACUCUAAAGGGACUGCCGGUGUUAAACCGGAGGAAGGUGGGGAGUGACGUCAAGUCCUCAUGGCCUUUAUGACCAGGGCUACACACGUACUACAAUGGCCGAUAUAAAGGGCAGCGACACUGCGAGGUGAAGCCAAUCCCGUAAAAUCGGUCUCAGUCCGGAUUGGAGUCUGCAACUCGACUCCAUGAAGUUGGAAUCGCUAGUAAUCGUGGAUCAGCAUGCCACGGUGAAUACGUUCCCGGGCCUU
rnacentral:rRNA from 1 species